rnacentral:rRNA from 1 species
AUUGAACGCUGGCGGCAGGCCUAACACAUGCAAGUCGAGCGAGCGGCGGACGGGUGAGUAAUGUAUGGGGACUGCCCGAUAGAGGGGGAUAACUACGGGAAACGGUAGCUAAUACCGCAUACUAUCGGAUAACCCAUAUGGGAUUAGCUAGUAGGUGAGGUAAUGGCUCACCUAGGCGACGAUCCCUAGCUGGUCUGAGAGGAUGAUCAGCAACACUGGGACGGAGACACGGCCCAGACUCCUACGGAGGCAGCAGUGGGGAAUAUUGGACAAUGGGCGCAAGCCUGAUGCAGCCAUGCCGCGUGUGUGAAGAAGGCCCUAGGGUUGUAAAGUACUUUCAUUCGGGAGGCGUUACCGACACAAGAAGCAACGGCUAACUCCGUGCCAGCAGCCGCGGUAAUUC